GUGUUUGGAAUGGUCUCGUUAGCU
ensembl:ncRNA